GAACAGCCUUCGACAACUGCCCUCGACUCCCCUCCCUUCUCCCCCUCCUUUCCUCCUCCCGCUCUGACUGUGAGAAUGCCCUGACAGAAACGAUACGGGCUUAGCAGACAUGGAGGCCCGAUUAACGAGAGAGGCCCAUUCCGACGCGUCUGAGCUCGACUAACGCGGACCCGGAGAGGGAUUCGGGCGACACAUCGGAUUAUCACGGGGACAUCAGCGAUUUCAAGAUAAAUAUCCGAGCGACUAUUCUGUUGCGUACGAAGGGAGGAUUUUGAUCGCAAAUUAUGUGAACGCCGUUCUGGACCGCUGUUAAGUUUGAAGGUGAGAGGGCUGGGCACUUGGGAAGGGACGACAUUGCUUCAACCCAACAAGGAUUUUUUUCCAACCUCUGCUUUCCCCCCUUCCCCUUCCCCUCCAUUCCACUUCCUUCUUCCUACCUGACAUCUGCACAGUUCUCCAGUACCUGCCUAUACCUGCGAGUGAGAACAUCCUGUCCCACUCAAGCCCCCCUU